rnacentral:rRNA from 1 species
AUGCUUGGAAUAAUCAAUGAAAGGAUAAUUUUUGAAGUAUCCGCUGGGCAAACUUCAUUGAUUUCUGAUGAUGCGGAUGUUGUUGCUCUAGUUGGAACCAGUAAGGACUUGGCAAAACAGAUAAAUCAGAAGGAACUGCAUUGGGGGUUGCUUGAAGAUUCAGUUGAGGAGCGUAUGGAGAAAGCACUCUCAGAUUCUGAUAGAGCUGAAGCAGAAAGCAAGGAUGCAGAUGCAGAAGAUAAUAACAAGAAAAAAUCCUCAGAAGGUGGAAAGCAGGGUGGUCCUCUUAACAAAAAGCUCAAAAAGGAUAAGCUUGUAGGCGCGACAGGGAAAAAUACCAAAUCCGAAACAAGCAUGAUUUCUGCGGCACCUCGUGUGAAACCGGAGCUAACCCUUCCAGUGACGCCUGUUGAAGUUGAACAAUCAAUUCUUCAGGACCUGCGAAACCGUGCACAAUGGAAUAACUUGGCAUUGCCAUCUGUUAGCUUCUACACAUUCCUUAAUACACAUAACGGAUUAAACUGCUCAUCGAUCUCAAACGAUGGAUCACUGGGUGUUGGUGGGUUCUCAGACUCAUCAGUAAAGGUUUGGGAUAUGGCAAAGAUUGGUCAACCAGCCAAAACAUCUAGUUCACAAGGAGAGAAUGGAUUUUCACAGGACGAGCGCUUGUCAUCAACAUCUGAGGGAAAAAGACCUUAUACAUUAUUCCAAGGUCAUUCUGGACCAGUUUAUUCCUCUGCCUUUAGUCCAUUUGGAGAUUUUCUCCUGUCAUCAUCUUCAGAUUCAACAAUUCGGCUGUGGAGUACCAAGCUGAAUGCCAAUCUUGUUUGUUAUAAAGGACACAAUUACCCAGUUUGGGAUGUCCAAUUUAGUCCAGUCGGCCAUUAUUUUUCCAGUGCCUCGCAUGACAGGACUGCUCGAAUCUGGUCAAUGGAUAAAAUCCAACCUUUGCGGAUAAUGGCUGGGCAUCUUGCUGAUGUUGAUUGUGUGCAGUGGCAUGUAAACUGUAACUACAUUGCCACCGGCUCUAGUGACAAAACUGUAAGGCUAUGGGAUGUUCAAACUGGUGAAUGUAUACGAAUGUUCAUUGGUCAUAGGAGUAUGGUCUUAUCACUGGCAAUGUCUCCUGAUGGGCGAUACAUGGCCUCCGGAGACGAAGAUGGGACGAUCAUGAUGUGGGAUCUCUCUACUGGUCGCUGUGUUUCACCACUAGCGGGACACAACUCUUGUGUGUGGUCACUUGCUUUCAGCUGUGAGGGAGCAUUGCUUGCAUCUGGAUCGGCUGAUUGCACUGUUAAACUUUGGGAUGUCGCGUCCAGCACAAAGGCCCUGAAGAUGGAUGACACCAAGGCUGGUUCUACGAACCGACUGAGGCUGCUGAAAGCUCUCCCAACAAAAUCGACUCCUGUUUAUAACUUGCGGUUUUCUCGGAGGAAUCUUUUGUUUGUAUCUGGCGCUCUCUCGCUAUAG